CAGCCGCCGCGGUAAUACGAAGGGUGCAAGCGUUACUCGGAAUUACUGGGCGUAAAGCGUGCGUAGGUGGUGGUUUAAGUCCGUUGUGAAAGCCCUGGGCUCAACCUGGGAAUUGCAGUGGAUACUGGGUCACUAGAGUGUGGUAGAGGAUAGUGGAAUUUCCGGUGUAGCAGUGAAAUGCGUAGAGAUCGGGAGGAACAUCAGUGGCGAAGGCGGCCAUCUGGGACAACACUGACGCUGAGGCACGAAAGCGUGGGGAGCAAACAGGAUUAGAUACCCCCGUAGUCCCUGUCUCUUAUAC
rnacentral:rRNA from 1 species